GAACGCUGGCGGCGUGCCUAAUACAUGCAAGUCGAACGCACAGCGAAAGGUGCUUGCACCUUUCAAGUGAGUGGCGAACGGGUGAGUAACACGUGGACAACCUGCCUCAAGGCUGGGGAUAACAUUUGGAAACAGAUGCUAAUACCGAAUAAAACUUAGUGUCGCAUGACACAAAGUUAAAAGGCGCUUCGGCGUCACCUAGAGAUGGAUCCGCGGUGCAUUAGUUAGUUGGUGGGGUAAAGGCCUACCAAGACAAUGAUGCAUAGCCGAGUUGAGAGACUGAUCGGCCACAUUGGGACUGAGACACGGCCCAAACUCCUACGGGAGGCUGCAGUAGGGAAUCUUCCACAAUGGGCGAAAGCCUGAUGGAGCAACGCCGCGUGUGUGAUGAAGGCUUUCGGGUCGUAAGCACUGUUAUAUGGGAAGAACAGCUAGAAUAGGAAAUGAUUUUAGUUUGACGGUACCAUACCAGAAAGGGACGGCUAAAUACGUG
rnacentral:rRNA from 1 species